rnacentral:rRNA from 1 species
UACGUAGGGUGCAAGCGUUGUCCGGAAUUAUUGGGCGUAAAGAGCUUGUAGGCGGUUUGUCGCGUCUGCUGUGAAAUUUCGGGGCUCAACCCCGAACUUGCAGUGGGUACGGGCAGACUAGAGUGUGGUAGGGGAGACUGGAAUUCCUGGUGUAGCGGUGAAAUGCGCAGAUAUCAGGAAGAACACCCGUGGCGAAGGCGGCUUUCUGGGACGGUACUGACGCUGAGACGCGAAAGCGUGGGGAGCGAACAGG